rnacentral:lncRNA from 1 species
GUAAUGAUCAGGGAAGCCAAGUGGCUAGGAGAGCAAGAGGGGCCCUUGGCUUUCAGGAAAUAGAACUGGGAUUAGAGCUGCAGGGAAGGCUUGUAGGGGGGCAGGAAGUCCAAUGCAUCUUUAUUUUUUUUCUUCCUUUUUAAAAACUUUGGAAAUUUUCAAACAUACACAAAAGUAGAGAGAUGAUUUAACAACUAUUUACAAAUGGCAAUUUUGUUUCAUCUGUACUCUCCCCCAGCCCCUCAAUGGACUAUUUUGAAUCCAGUUCCAGACCUCAUAUCGUUGUCUCCAUAAAUAUUUUGGUAUGUAUCCCUAAAAGACAAAGAUCCUUGUUUUUUAUUUAAGAAGUCAUAACUACAACACUAGUAUCUCACCUAAAAAUCAAUAAUAAUUUCUUAAUAUUUUCGAAUAUCCACUCAGAUUCCAAUUUCAUCUGUCUCAAGAUUUUUUUUCAAGAUUCAGAAAGGUCCACACACUGCAUUUCAUCGAUAUUGGAAUAUAUUUUGAAUGGCAUGAAGAGUCACCGAAGGGAAUACGCAACCCAAUACAAUUCUGUAGCAUCCAUUGAAUACUCUAAUGUUGUUACUGAAGAUGAUGAGAAGAUGAUGGAGAAGUGUGGUCCAACAGGACUGGACUUUCUUGAGGUAACCAAAAAGGUUGACAUAGACCUUGUAAAUUAACCGUGGGUAUAUCAACCUUCUUCCAUUGUGUUGUUGUUUUUUUUAAUUUAAAUUCAAUUAGCCAACUUAUAGUACAUCAUUAGUUUCAGAUGGAGUGUUCAAUAAUUUAUCAGUUUUGUAUAACACCCAGUGCUCAUCACAUCAUGUGCCCUCCUUAAUGCCCAUCACCCAGUUACCCCAUCCUCCAACCCAUCUCCCCUCCAGCAACCCUCAGUUUGUUUUCUUUUUUUUUCCAAAAAUUUUAUUUAUUUAUUUAUUUGAGAGAAGAGAAUGAAAGAGAGAGAGAGAGCAUGAGAGGGGGGAGGUCAGAGGGAGAAGCAGACUCCCUGCUGAGCAGGGAGCCCAAUGUGGGACUCGGUCCUGGGACUCCAGGAUCAUGACCUGAGCCGAAGGCAUUGCUUAACCAACUGAGCCACCCAGGCACCCCCCUCAGUUUGUUUUCUAUAGUUAAGAGUCUUCCAUUGUUUUUUCACUCUGGAUUGUGUUUGAAUCAGCAAGCCCUAGGAAAUGGUAAUUUUAUUCAUUAAUCCUCAACCACUCAUUUUCAUUGAUUAAAUAAAAGUCUGAAACUCCUAGAGCUACCUAUAAUA